rnacentral:rRNA from 1 species
CAGCCGCCGCGGUAAUACGGAGGGAGCUAGCGUUGUUCGGAAUUACUGGGCGUAAAGCGCACGUAGGUGGUUAUUCAAGUCAGAGGUGAAGGCCCGGGGCUCAACCCCGGAACUGCCUUUGAAACUAGAUGACUGGAAUCUUGGAGAGGUCAGUGGAAUUCCGAGUGUAGAGGUGAAAUUCGUAGAUAUUCGGAAGAACACCAGUGGCGAAGGCGACUGACUGGACAGGUAUUGACGCUGAGGUGCGAAAGCGUGGGGAGCAAACAGGAUUAGAUACCCGGGUAGUCCCUGUCUCUUAUAC